AGAGUGUGCGCCCUGAUCUUGUAAUUGGCUUCACAUAGGUGUAAGGGACUGCCUAAGUGGAACCAAUUAUCGAAUCAGUGCCUCAGUACUUA
rnacentral:ncRNA from 2 species